CCAAUAUAGUUAUCCGUUGAGGUUACUCGUGGCUCUGUCCAAGUGGUAUAUGGGAGCGUAGCCCUAACUGCAAUGAUGUACAAUCCCCUUCCACAGUGUUGAAGAUCAAGCCUGUCUUUGAUUCUAGAGCUGAUGAGAGCAGCAUCCUUUAUAUUCCUAUAACUUCUCCGUCUCUAGACAAUUACUGAGGAGAAACCUUGCAGGGCGCAACU
rnacentral:snoRNA from 16 species